rnacentral:rRNA from 1 species
UAGGGAAUCUUCGGCAAUGGGGGCAACCCUGACCGAGCAACGCCGCGUGAGUGAAGAAGGUUUUCGGAUCGUAAAGCUCUGUUGUAAGAGAAGAACGUGUGUGAGAGUGGAAAGUUCACACAGUGACGGUAACUUACCAGAAAGGGACGGCUAACUACGUGCCAGCAGCCGCGGUAAUACGUAGGUCCCGAGCGUUGUCCGGAUUUAUUGGGCGUAAAGCGAGCGCAGGCGGUUGAAUAAGUCUGAAGUUAAAGGCAGUGGCUUAACCAUUGUUAGCUUUGGAAACUGUUGAACUUGAGUGCAGAAGGAGAGAGUGGAAUUCCAUGUGUAGCGGUGAAAUGCGUAGAUAUAUGGAGGAACACCGGUGGCGAAAGCGGCUCUCUGGUCUGUAACUGACGCUGAGGCUCGAAAGCGUGGGGAGCAAACAGG